UACGAAGGGGGCUAGCGUUGUUCGGAAUUACUGGGCGUAAAGGGCGCGUAGGCGGUCUGAUAAGUUAGGUGUGAAAUUCCCCGGGCUUAACCUGGGCGCUGCACUUAAUACUGUUGGGCUUGAAUUCGGGAGAGGAUAGUGGAAUUCCCAGUGUAGAGGUGAAAUUCGUAGAUAUUGGGAAGAACACCAGUGCGAAGGCGACUAUCUGGACCGACAUUGACGCUGAGGCGCGAAAGCGUGGGGAGCAAACAGGG
rnacentral:rRNA from 1 species